ensembl:lncRNA
CACAGGGGCAAGGUCAUGGGGCCCAGGUCACGGGGCCCAGGUCACGGGGGCGAGGUCACAGGGCAAGGUCACGGGGGCUCAGGUCACGGGGGCGAGGUCAUGGGGCCCAGGUCACGGGGGCAAGGUCAUGGGGGCAAGGUCACAGGGGCGAGGUCAUGGGGCCCAGGUUAUGGGGGCAAGGUCAUGGGGCCCAGGUCACGGGGGCAAGGUCAUGGGGCCCAGGUCACGGGGGCGAGGUCACGGGGGCAAGGUCACGGGGGCGAGGUCACGGGGGCAAGGUCAUGGGGCCCAGGUCACGGGGGCGAGGUCACGGGGGCAAGGUCACAGGGACAAGGUCACGGGGGCAAGGUCAUGGGGCCCAGGUCACGGGGGCAAGGUCACGAGAGCUUGGGUGCUGCUCUGCCCUGGUGGGGCCUUCAGGGGCUUCCUGGGUCCCUUGAGGUUGGGGGGAGGGAGAGCAGGGCUUGGAGCAUGGCCAUGGGGCUUCCAGAGAGGUCCAGGUCUCGCUCCAGGGGGCCAGUCUCGGGACCCCUCCCUCACCACCUCCCUCCAGGAGACCCCACAUGAGCCCGGGCCUCCCCUGCCUGGGCCUUGGGGGCUGUGCAGGGAGGCACAUAUUUACACACACGCUCCCAGCCCGGGGCAGGAAAGGGUGCCCAGUGCCCGGGGCCCAUAAGGAAGCCUCUGUGCCCGGGGCUGCUCAGUUUGGCCACUCUGCCCCGGCCCAGACCAUCUAUGCCAGCGGGGGAGGUGGUUCAGAGGCUCCAGGGCCGGGCCUGGUGCAGAGAGGGCUGGGCAGGGCCCCCCGGUGGGCCCCCCACGCCCGCCCCAGGCAGGGGCCGGGGAGGCUUGUUCCUCUGGGUCCUGGCUCACCAAGGCCAGCCUUGCUCCGGUGCUGAGCAGCUUGCCAGGAAAUUAUCUCUACUGGGUGGGCUGGGCUGAAGCUCCUGCAGACGGGAAGGAGCUCGAGAGGGGCCCAGGGGUGCAGCCCCCAGCUGCAGGCCCACCCCCCCCAGCUGGCAAGCGUGUGCCCAGUGGGCAUCGGGGUGACACGUUUGUCUCAUUUCCUCUCCAGGUGAACGGCACGGACCAGGCCGAGUCGGCAGCCCAGUCCCCCGGCCAGGAAGGAAGGCAGGGGCCCCUGAGCGAGGGGCCCAACCCCCACCGACCGACUCUGCUGUCCGGCUCCCCUCCCCCAGCCCAGACCCAUGGGCCUGACCACAGCCCUGGCGAGCAGCCACCUCCCAGCCCCCCUCCCCACAGCCUGGAGCAGUUCCCCCACAUGCAGGCCCUCAUUUAACCUCCACAGGGGGCACGGCCGGCCCCCACGGCCCCCAACACCCCCCCCAGCUCAUUCCUGAGGGACCACUGAGGUGUCCCUGGGGUCACGGUCACUACGGGGAUCUGUGCCCAUCAAGGCCCGGCCUUGGUGAGCCCCAGACCUCACCCACCACCCUCCCUCCCUCCAUUAAUGACGCCCACGGUGCAACCCCGAGAAGCGGCCACGGCGGGCUGACGCCACAUAGGGAGGAGGGAUGAGGAAGAGUCCGUUGUGCACCCCCAGGGUGACCACAAGCCAGUGGGGGGCCCAACCAGUGCCGGGGGCUGGGAAAUGGCCAAUAAACUCGGCUGCCUGCAGCUGCCUCACUGGUCUGCUUGGGGGCUUUCGGGGGGCCGGGCGGGAGGCAGGGCCCCAGGAUGUGAGAGAGUAUGUACAUGGGGCAGUGUGAGAGAAAACGUGAGGGGCCGCACCCACAGCAGAAUCAGGGGGAGGUCGAGGAGAGUGUGAGAGGGGCUUCCUGGAGGAGGCGGCCCUGAGAGGGCUGGGAGGAGCCCAAGGUCAGGGCUGACUCAGGGCCCAGCCCUCUCCUCCCCUGACUUGCAGCAGCAGCAGGGCUGGACCCUAACCCGGGGCCCCUUCUGUGACUUUCUGGGGAGAAAUAGGUCCUGCCCCUGUACGGGCCCCUUGGGAACCCCCGCAGCCCCAGAUCUGGCUCCCUCGUCCCAAGCCCUCCCGGGAUCGUCCCUCUGGGACAGAAGGCUGGCCCAGAGCUCCGAGGGCCGGGCCCACGUCUCCCUUCUCUCACGGGGCUCCCGCCGAGGGCCGACUCUCAGCCCUGCUGUCCUUGCUCUGCCCCACGGGUGGGGGUGGGGGGACCAGGAACCCCACAGCGACAUCCCUGCAAGCCUCCCCUGGAAUGCCUCUAGGGACGGGGAGCUCCCUACCUCACCUCCAGAGGCAGCCCCACUGCCUCUGUACUCCCCCCCGCCCAGAGGCUCCUCGGGGCCAAGCAGACAAGGCUAGAGCCCCUUCUGGCGAGGACCCUUUGAGACCCUUGAAGGCGGCUCUCGGGGUGUGAGAGAGAGACUGGCUUUGCACAGAGGGCCAGGGUUUGAAUCCUGCCUGACUCCUGGGGGCUCCUUCUGGGCCCAGUCUCCUCCUCUGCACAAUGAGCCUGGGACUUGGAGCCUCUCCCGGGGCAGCCCCCUGCCCCCGAGCUUGGGCUUGGUCCCAGGCCCCAAAAACCCUCCAUUUACUUCAACAAGCUUGAGCUCGCCGGCACCACCUUGUGGCCAAACAUGGAUCCUCAACAAAGGCAGGGGAACAGGCAUUUAUUAAGCACCGACUGUGUACCAGGUUCUGUCCUGAGCGCUCAUGGCUCAGGAAGCAGGUGCUCUGAUUGUCCCCAUUCUACAGAUAAGGAAACUGAGGUAGCAGAGGUGGAGGAGCUUGCCCAAGCAGGCCUCCCUGACUCCCAAGCCAGCUUAGGGGCCUCUGGGAGGGGCCUUUACCACAGUUUCCCUGGUGGAGGCCCCAUGGAGGGCCCUCUCCCAGAUGCGCUAUCUCCCCUCCUCUGGCCCCCUGCCUUCUCUAAUCUUCUUCCCCCGAUGGCCCCCAGGAGUCGGCUCUGGGGGGGCCCCUGUGAGCUCUGGCCCCUGGAGGGGUGGGGGGGUGACGGGCCCCGGAGCGGGCUGGGGGCUGAGGUGGGACUUCCUGGCGGACGGUCUCCGGUCAGGGCGGGGGGCGGGGCCGUCACUGGGCGGAGCUGGCGGGAG